rnacentral:rRNA from 1 species
UACGAAGGGGGCUAGCGUUGUUCGGAAUCACUGGGCGUAAAGGGCGCGUAGGCGGCUUUUCAAGUCGGGGGUGAAAGCCUGUGGCUCAACCACAGAAUUGCCUUCGAUACUGUUAGGCUUGAGACCGGAAGAGGUGAGUGGAACUGCGAGUGUAGAGGUGAAAUUCGUAGAUAUUCGCAAGAACACCAGUGGCGAAGGCGGCUCACUGGUCCGGAACUGACGCUGAGGUGCGAAAGCUAGGGGAGCGAACAGG